GACGAACUGUCCUAACGUUGUUCGGAAUCACUGGGCUUAAAGGGCGCGUAGGCGGUCAAACAAGUCAGGGGUGAAAACCUGCAGCUCAACUGUAGAAGUGCCUCUGAUACUGUUUGUCUUGAAUACUUUGGAGGUAAGCGGAAUAUGUCAUGUAGCGGUGAAAUGCUUAGAUAUGACAUAGAACACCAAUUGCGAAGGCAGCUUACUACACAGUUAUUGACACUGAGGCACGAAAGCGUGGGGAUCAAACAGG
rnacentral:rRNA from 1 species